AUUGAACGCUGGCGGCAGGCCUAACACAUGCAAGUCGAACGGUAACAGGAAACAGCUUGCUGUUUCGCUGACGAGUGGCGGACGGGUGAGUAAUGUCUGGGAAACUGCCUGAUGGAGGGGGAUAACUACUGGAAACGGUAGCUAAUACCGCAUAACGUCGCAAGACCAAAGAGGGGGACCUUCGGGCCUCUUGCCAUCGGAUGUGCCCAGAUGGGAUUAGCUAGUAGGUGGGGUAACGGCUCACCUAGGCGACGAUCCCUAGCUGGUCUGAGAGGAUGACCAGCCACACUGGAACUGAGACACGGUCCAGACUCCUACGGGAGGCAGCAGUGGGGAAUAUUGCACAAUGGGCGCAAGCUUGAUGCAGCCAUGCCGCGUGUAUGAAGAAGGCCUUCGGGUUGUAAAGUACUUUCAGCGGGGAGGAAGGGAGUAAAGUUAAUACCUUUACUCAUUGACGUUACCCGCAGAAGAAGCACCGGCUAACUCCGUG
rnacentral:rRNA from 1 species